UGGCCAAAGCUGGGAAGAUGAGCCUGAAAGCAGAAGCUGAGAAUCCUCCUCACCACAGAAUGAACUGUUGCAAGGAUCCCCAGUCCUGACCAGCUUGACACACCAUGGCUCACCACAGGAGCUGGACCAGUGCAGGGCCAGGAAAGAGAAGCGACACACAGGUUCAUGCUGAGCUGGACGUGGAGGGCCAAGGAUAGCUGGAGAAGAGAGGGCGCUGAGGAAGACAACUGGGGAGGAGAAGGCUCGAAAAGACAAGAUGGGAGGCAGAAGGGCAGAAAUAGACAUAGCACAAAGAAAAGGAGAGCGGGAGUUACAGAAACAGCUUCCCAGUCAGAGAGCAGUCUAAUAGGCCACCGCUACCUUGAGAAGUGUAAAGUAGGUCUGGACAUAGCAGGCUAUUUGCAGACUGAGCGGUAAUACACAUUGUUAAUAGGUUCAACCAGGGCCCUGCCCAUUAAUCAGAUUGAGAACAGACAGAGAGGAAGAGACUAGGAAAGGAGGAGAAGGAGAAUGAUGGAUGGAGGUGGACGUCAGAGGAGGAAAAUGAGGUGUCUCAGAGCAGAGGUGAGCAUCUCAGAGCGAGGUCUCCCUCUUUCUCUCACCUCUUAAGCUUUCUGGUUCACCGUGCUCUCUCAUUCUCACAUCAUUUGGACAAAAAACUCACUUUGACGGCUUUACUGUCUCUGCAUGCGAGGCACUUCCACAUCUAUUCAUUGAGUCAUUUUGAAAUGAAUAAUUUAAAGAAGCUGCAGUGCCUGUUCUUCUCCUGCCUGUUUGGAAUGGGCUGUUUACUU